rnacentral:rRNA from 1 species
ACUGCUCAGUAACACGUGGAUAACUUGUCCUGCGGACCGGGAUAACCCCUGGGAAACUGGGGCUAAUACCGGAUAGAGCAGCGAUCGCUGGAAUGCACGAUGCUCCAAAGCUCCGGCACCACAGAGUAGGUCUGCGGCCGAUUAGGUCGUUGUUAUGUAACGGAUCAACAAGCCUCCGAUCGGUAUGGGUUGUGAGAGCAAUAGCCCAGAGAUGGGUUCUGAGAUAAGAACCCAGGUCCUACGGGACGCAUCAGGCGCGAAAACUUUACACUGUGCGCCAGCACGAUAAGGGAACUCUGAGUGCCUCCUCAGGAGGCUGUUCAGGUGUCUAAAACGCAUCUGAAGGAAGGGCUGGGUAAGACUGGUGCCAGCCGCCGCGGUAACACCAGCAGCCCAAGUGGUAGCCACUCUUACUGGGUCUAAAGCGCCCGUAGCCGGCCAGGUAAGUUCCUUGGGAAAUUUGAUCGCUUAACGAUUAAGCGUCCAGGGAAUACUGCCCGGCUUGGGACCGGGAGAGGUCAGAGGUACCCCAAGGGUAGGGGUGAAAUCCGUUAAUCCUUGGGGGACCGCCGGUAGCGAAGGCGUCUGACUAGACCGGAUCCGACGGUGAGGGGCGAAGGCUAGGGGAGCGAACCGGAUUAGAUACCCGGGUAGUCCUAGCUGUAAACGAUGCGGGCUAGGUGUUGGCAUUACUGCGAGUGAUGCCAGUGCCGAAGGGAAGCCGUUAAGCUCGCCAUCUGGGGAGUACGGUCGCAAGGCUGAAACUUAAAGGAAUUGGCGGGGGAGCA